CUGGCAGGUAUACUCAUAAUUAAGGCAGUAAUGCCCCCAUGGCAGCCCCCAACAGGUCACUGGAUGCUGGACUUCCAGAUAAAGCAUAGUGCUGUGGGUGAUGCUGGCAAGAAGAGCCUGAGCUCAAGCCAGGGGAGGGGCUGGAGCUGCGAGCAUUCAGACAAGUCCAGCGCAAGAAACAGCCUUCUCUUCAGUGUUUUGCAGGCUGCCUGAGCCUCCACGUUGUAGGAGAUCCACAAACCACACUCAAGAGAGGAUGGACAUGGGGACCACCGUCUGCAUGCUUGGACCCAGGCAUCAGGCUGAGGUUCUGAGAUGCUGCUGGACUCUCAAGAGUCUUCUCUAGCGCCACAAUUCAAAAGUAUCAAUCCUUCGGUACUCAGCCUUGGACUUGUUGGACCCCAUGGUCCAGCUCUCACAUCCGUACGUGACUACUGGA